UACAGAGGUCCCGAGCGUUGUUCGGAUUCAUUGGGCGUAAAGGGUGCGUAGGCGGCGAGGCAAGUCUGGUGUGAAAUCCCGGGGCUCAACCCCGGAACUGCACUGGAUACUGCUUUGCUAGAGUACUGGAGAGGGAACUGGAAUUUACGGUGUAGCAGUGAAAUGCGUAGAUAUCGUAAGGAAGACCAGUGGCGAAGGCGAGUUCCUGGACAGUUACUGACGCUGAGGCACGAAGGCCAGGGGAGCGAACGGG
rnacentral:rRNA from 1 species